rnacentral:rRNA from 1 species
UAGGGAAUCUUCGGCAAUGGACGGAAGUCUGACCGAGCAACGCCGCGUGAGUGAAGAAGGUUUUCGGAUCGUAAAGCUCUGUUGUUAGAGAAGAACGUUGGUAGGAGUGGAAAAUCUACCAAGUGACGGUAACUAACCAGAAAGGGACGGCUAACUACGUGCCAGCAGCCGCGGUAAUACGUAGGUCCCGAGCGUUGUCCGGAUUUAUUGGGCGUAAAGCGAGCGCAGGCGGUUCUUUAAGUCUGAAGUUAAAGGCAGUGGCUUAACCAUUGUACGCUUUGGAAACUGGAGGACUUGAGUGCAGAAGGGGAGAGUGGAAUUCCAUGUGUAGCGGUGAAAUGGGUAGAUAUAUGGAGGAACACCGGUGGCGAAAGCGGCUCUCUGGGCUGUAACUGACGCUGAGGCUCGAAAGCGUGGGGAGCAAACAGG